rnacentral:rRNA from 1 species
AACCUGAAACCAUGUGCCUACAAGCGGUCGGAGCACUAUGGCUCUUUGAGCAAUGUGUGACGGCGUGCCUUUUGCAUAAUGAUCCGGCGAGUUACCGUCGGCGGCUUGGUUAAGGCCUUUCGGGCCGGAGCCAUAGGGAAACCGAGUCUUAAUAGGGCGAACAUUGUCGUCGGUGGUAGACGCGAAACUGCGUGAUCUACCCAUGAGCAGGUUGAAGCGCGAGUUAUAUCGCGUGGAGGACCGAACCCACUUGGGUUGAAAACCGAGGGGAUGACUUGUGGGGAGGAGUGAAAGUCUAAUCAAACCUGGAGAUAGCUCGUUCUCUCCGAAAUAGCUUUAGGGCUAGCCUCGAGCCACUACGCACUGGGGGUAGAGAUACUGAAUCGGUUUGGGGCCCUUCCCGGGGUACCCUGCUGAACCAAACUCCGAAUACCAGUGCGAUUAUCUCGGGAGUCAGUCCGCGGGGGAUAAGCUCCGCGGUCGAGAGGGAAACAACCCAGACCAUCUGCUAAGGUCCCGAAGCAAGUCUUAGUCACUAAGGAAGUUGAAUUGCGGUGACAGCCAGGAUGUUGGCUUAGAAGCAGCCAUCAUUUAAAAAGUGCGUAACAGCUUACUGGUCGAGCAAUUCAGCGCCGAUAAUGAACGGGAGUAAGUCUUGCACCGAAGCAGUGGAUGACGCGUAAGCGUCGUGGUAGGAGAGCGCUGUAGAUCAGACACGAGUCGUACCGUAAGGAGCGAUGUUGGGGUCUACAGGUGAUUAUGCCGGAAUGAGUAACGAUAAAGCAGGUGAGAAUCCUGCUCGCCGAAAGCCUAAGGUUUCCUGGGGAAGGCAAUUCCGCCCAGGGUUAGCCGGUGCCUUAGUCGAGGCCGAAAGGCGUAGACGAUGGAUAGCAGGUUAAUAUUCCUGCGCCGCAGUAGUGGACCGAUGGAGGGACGGCGUCCCAACGGUGAUCAGCCGAGUAGAAAUGGCUGUAGGGCGUUGCAAGGUGGCGGGAUAGGUAAAUCCACCCGCAUAAUCCAAGCGACGAACUCGAGGACAUUUAUGAUUCUGAAGUCAUUAGAGGGACGUCCAAGAAAAGCUUCUAAGGGUUGAAACUAUUGCGACCGUACUAAAACUGACACAGGUAGGCGAGACGAGAAGUCUAAGGCGCUCGGGAGAACACUAGUUAAGGAACUCUGCAAAAUGACCCCGUAAGUUCGCGAUAAGGGGUGCCCUCGGCGGUUCACGCUGCUGGGGGCCACAGUAAAUCGGCUUCUGCGACUGUUUAUCAAAAACAUAGGACUCUGCUAACUCGCAAGAGGAUGUAUAGAGUCUGACGCCUGCCCGGUGCCGGUAGGUUAAGGAAGAGGGUUAGCCUUCGGGCGAAGCUCGCGACCGAAGCCCAUGUAAACGGCGGCCGUAACUAUGACGGUCCUAAUGUAGCGAAGUUCCUUGUCGGGUAAGUUCCGACCUGCAUGAAAGGCGUAACGACAGC